rnacentral:lncRNA from 1 species
AAUUGAAAUGGAAAUAUUAUAGAAAAAGACUCGUUUAGUCUUUAUGUGAGACAUCAUGAAUCGUGUCCCAUAUGCUUCGGAUAUAGGAUCGAUUGCAUGUGCUAUAUUCAUCCAUUCUAAAAUUUUCCAAAUGCCUGGGGCAUUAAGAAGGGAAAAGGUCUAGAAUUGGAUAUGACUAAAAGGAUUAAACAAUUGUCGAGGAAAAUCUAAGGUUACCAAAGAUUGGUUGCUCAAGGACAGUUGGAAGUAUAGUAAUAAUUCUGGAAGGACCAUAUUGACAUAAUCUGUAAGGAGGCAACUGGUGUUCAAAAGUGAUAGUGAAAAUGGAAUAUGGAAAUGUUUCAAAGUUACAAAUUAUUCAAUCUAUGUAAGAUUAGGAAACUUAAUGCAAGAAGGAUUUUCCAAGGAGUUGAUCUACUUUGGAAUGCUCUGUAAUGAUUGUUGUCAAGUCUUUAUGACUUUGUGCAUAAUCAUUACAAGAGGAUCAAUGCAUAUAAGUUUAGAAUCAAACAGAUUUCAGUAAAUGGCAUGAAUUUGGAAUUCUUGCAUUUGUAGUAAGGAUUUGGGACUAUGAGGAUCAUUGGAGUAAUGUUCAAUUGAUCUAUUUCACAAAGUAAUGAUCAUAGACAACCAUAGUAUGCAUACUUGGUGUAUGGCAUGACUAGUGUUUAGAAAACAUAGUGUACAUGCUUGGAGCAUGGGACAACUAUUGUUUUAAAUUCAAGAAUAAAAUUGAUAGCUGAAACAGUAUACAAUGCAUAAUGUGUAAUCAUAUGGUGAUAAAUAAAAGGUGUUUUAUUUAUGUUCAUAGGUUUUGAUACUUUAUUCGAUUCAAUUAUUCUUGUGUUUCAUUUUGCAUGUUUUGACUUCAAGAAUAAACUAGGUCAUUGUUCUGGAUGACUAAGUUAUUCAAACCAUCCACAGUCGGUCAUAUGUUGGAAGUAAAUAUGAAUUAAGACUGUCAUGGGUUGGCUUGUAGAGGUCUAAGAUGUUGGACAAAGGGCUACAACACUCAUGAGUGCUCAUAAGUUAGGAGUAUUGGAUUCAACCCGCGCUCAUUGGAAUCACUUCAAGGAUUUUAUCACGAGUGAUCAUGAGACGAUAAUAUCUUAUAUUCUUCAAACCUAGAAAUGUGAGUUGUUACUAUGAAUUGGUUAUACACUGAUUGCACGAAAAUGCAUUGGUAACUCGAUGUUAUAAAACGUGCCUUUGUGUCUGAUUCAACAAGUAGUAGAACAAGCCAUAUGAGUCGAAGUUUAUCCAUUCCUUUUACUGUCGGGAUAAAAGCGAUAUCUGUGGGCCCCUCGAUGAUUUGGUGAUGACAAACGUAAGUGCUCGGCCGGGUCUGGACUAAUUUUAUUUGUUCAAUUAGUCAGUCGUCAUAGAUCGGAAAUCAGGAAACAACAAAUGGACAUAGAGAAUGAUUAUAAUCUGUGUCUCAGUCCAAAUGAUAUCUAGAAUGGAGGAAUAUAUGAUCCCUUAUCUAAUGGACAUGUCAUUUGAUUUGUUCAGAGUUUGACAGCGACUUUAAGAGCUACGAUUGCUAGUCGGGAUCUUGGAUUCAUACUUGAAUAAUAAUAAGGAUAGACUUAUCCAAGUGGGAGACUAUUGGAUUAGGUGUCUAAGCCCAUAACUAUUAUUGGUAUGUAUUCGACCCGAGAGUAGCAUGGUCCAUUAGGGUUGCAUAUCAUCAGGACAAUUUGUUAGGAUGGACUUUUGAGAGAAGGUUAUAUAUGGUUUAUUAAUAUAUUAUAUGUAAUAAUAUAUUAAUAUGAAAUCAUAUGUUUUAAUUAGUAUUGAUCAAGAAUUAAUUUGGAAUUAAUUUAGUGGUCGAAAGAGACUUAUUAAAUCUAUGGGGACUAAUUAUGAUAAUUAGUUUUAUUUAUAUGUGUUGGGCUUAUGAUCCAUGUUGGACCAAGUUUAUGUAUAGAUACAUAAACUGUUGGGCCAGAUGAACCAUGGAUCAUAAAACCCAUGGGUAUGGAUUCGGGUUAUAUCCAUGACCCUAGAAAUCCCACGUAUAAAUAGAUACUUCAUUCCCCAAAAUCGCCACUUGUAUCAUUUUAGAGUUCAUGGUGUCUUUUGUGUGCAUGGAAUUCUCUUUCAAGUUCAUCCUUUGUCCAUGGUGUGUUGUGCAGAAAGAUAAAAAGUUUGUCAAAUCUGAAAAGAUGGGAGAGUACUUUAGUAUCAUGUUUUAAGACCAUCUUAAUGAUUUUGAGAUCUUAUCACAAUUCAUCAUCUAAGUGCAUUCUGAUAGUUAAGAAGAGGAGUUAUGAAUUGUUGAAGUGGUUAAAUCAAGAAUAUGAUUGAUACUUCAUUCCAAAAACAAUUCUUAGAGUAAUACUCUAAGAUUGUAACUUGAGUGACAUAUCCAAAAGAAGGUUUAAAACACUUAUCAAAUGUAAGAGUAAAAGUUUUUUACUCUUUUACAUUUGAAAUUGGUAAGUUGUGAUGUUUUGGAUAAAAGAAAGACCAGCUAAGGCCAAUUGUGUGAAGUGUUUGUCUUGAUUAGAAUCCACACUAUCUCUUAAAUAUCUAACAAUAAAGUCUUAUAUGUCAAGAGGACAGUGGGAGUCUUAAAGGUCUUGAAAGUCUCAAGAACUAAUCAAGAAUAAAAUGCGUUGUUCUUCACUAGCACACAACUUGUGGUUUAUAACCUAUCGUGUUGACAUAUUUUGUGCCCAUUCCAGUUAAAGUUGGCUUUGCAUAUGAGUUCUUAUAGUUCUCAAUUGGUUACACAACAACAUGGAAGCAAUGGCAGGCCCUUGAGCUGGCAGGUGGCAAGAAAUUUAGAUUGAGUUCAGUCCAUAUGAGUUUGGAUUUGUCAUUAUCCUUGUCUUGUGACUAUGGUUUUGACAAUUCAUAUGGAUAAGAACACAUACACCAUUAAAUCUAUGGGUCAUAAGGUUUCUCUCCGACUCAUGAAAAUGAUGGUGAGGAAACACUUCCACCAAGUAGAUUUGAAUUAGAUAUCAAUUGUCAUAUUUUCAUCCUCAAAGUCGUUAGUAGAGCUGUGUGGUUAACCGGCACACUAACAUGGACUUGUCAAAGCUAGUGGGAGCAUAAGUGGUAUGCUAAUAGUCAUCAUGUUAGUGGGAGCAUGAUAAUUAUGAUAAAGGUUGCAAGUUAGCAAUGUUAAUUAUAGAAAAUAGAAGGUUUCAAUUGGGAAAAAGUUGUUUUGCUAUAAUUAAGGGAGAGGAAAUUAUACUUCAUCUCAAAUCUAAAAGCUUAGAUUGAGGUUUUAAUCGUAUUUAGUCAAGUAUAUAUAUGAAUGUUAUGUUGGAAUGNUUUAAUCAUUUAUAUAUAUAUAUAUAUAUGAAUGUUAUGUUGGAAUGGCUCAACAUAAGGAAAUUCUAAUAUAUGGGUCCAUUCUUUGCGUUCUAAAAUUCAAUUAUGAUUACCACAUCCCUUUUCAUAAUAUAAAUUAUGAGAACUUGGCAAAUUGAAAUGGAAAUAUUAUAGAAAAAGACUCGUUUAGUCUUUAUGUGAGACAUCAUGAAUCGUGUCCCAUAUGCUUCGGAUAUAGGAUCGAUUGCAUGUGCUAUAUUCAUCCUUUCUAAAAUUUUCCAAAUGCCUGGGGCAUUAAGAAGGGAAAAGGUCUAGAAUUGGAUAUGACUAAAAGGAUUAAACAAUUGUCGAGGAAAAUCUAAGGUUUACCAAAGAUUGGUUGCUCAAGGACAGUUGGAAGUAUAGUGAUAAUUCUGGAAGGACCAUAUUGACAUAAUCUGUAAGGAGGCAACUGUUGUUCAAAAGUGAUAGUGAAAAUGGAAUAUGGAAAUGUUUCAAAGUUACAAAUUAUUCAAUCUAUGUAAGAUUAGGAAACAUAAUGCAAGAAGGAUGUUUCCAAGGAGUUGAUCUCCAUUGGAAUGCUCUGUAAUGAUUGUUGUCAAGUCUUUAUGACUUUGUGCAUAAUCAUUACAAGAGGAUCAAUGCAUAUAAGUUUAGAAUCAAACAGAUUUUAGUAAAUGGCAUGAAUUUGGAAUUCUUGCAUUUGUAGUAAGGAAUUGGGACUAUGAAAAGAGCAUCAUUGGAGUAAUGUUCAAUUGAUCUAUUUCACAAACUUUUCUGUCUUCUUUUGGCUAACAAUCACUUGAUCUCAUAUUCGAGAAUUCGGGCUGCACAUCGCUAAGUCGAAAUUUCGGAAAAUCAUAACUUCCUCACACGAAGUCAGAUUUGGGUGCUCUUUUUGUGCACGCUCUCGAUUUAACGAUGUCACACCCCGAAAACCGAAGGCGGAAACAUUUCCGGGGUUGACUCCAC